AGAACGAACGCUGGCGGCAUGCCUAAUACAUGCAAGUCGAACGAACACUUCGGUGUUAGUGGCGCACGGGUGCGUAACGCGUGGGAAUCUGCCCCUUGGUUCGGAAUAACAGUUGGAAACGACUGCUAAUACCGGAUGAUGACGAAAGUCCAAAGAUUUAUCGCCAAGGGAUGAGCCCGCGUAGGAUUAGCUAGUUGGUGAGGUAAAGGCUCACCAAGGCAACGAUCCUUAGCUGGUCUGAGAGGAUGAUCAGCCACACUGGGACUGAGACACGGCCCAGACUCCUACGGGAGGCAGCAGUAGGGAAUAUGGACAAUGGGCGAAAGCCUGAUCCAGCAAUGCCGCGUGAGUGAUGAAGGCCUUAGGUUGUAAAGCUCUUUUACCCGAGAUGAUAAUGACAGUAUCGGAGAAUAAGCCCGGCUAACUCCGUGCCAAGCAGCCGC
rnacentral:rRNA from 1 species